GGGGAAUCUUGCGCAAUGGGCGAAAGCCUGACGCAGCAACGCCGCGUGAACGACGAAGGCCUUCGGGUCGUAAAGUUCUGUCAGGGGGGACGAAUAGGUGACGGUACCCCCGGAGGAAGCCCCGGCUAACUACGUGCCAGCAGCCGCGGUAACACGUAGGGGGCGAGCGUUGUCCGGAAUUACUGGGCGUAAAGGGCGUGUAGGCGGCCUGUCAAGUCAGGUGUGAAAAACCGGGGCUCAACCCUGGUCGUGCACUUGAAACUGGCGGGCUUGAGUGCAGGAGAGGAAAGUGGAAUUCCCAGUGUAGCGGUGAAAUGCGUAGAUAUUGGGAGGAACACCAGUGGCGAAGGCGACUUUCUGGCCUGUAACUGACGCUGAGGCGCGAAAGCUAGGGGAGCAAAC
rnacentral:rRNA from 1 species